rnacentral:lncRNA from 1 species
AUAUACUUGAAUCAACGCUAAUGAGGCUGGUCAGAGAUAUUAAAGAAAGGAGGAGAUAGGAAUCCCAAUGUGCAUUGAAUGACCAUCAGUGUUGACCAAUCGCGUUCACGUUGUCAUGCUGCGUCACACGGUUGCUAAGCUAAUAGUCAAGCAAUACCUUCUCUAGGUCAGAGGUAUUAUGCCGUGUUCCAAACUGGGAACUCUGAUAUCUCAGACGCGGGAAAAAACUAGAUCCGACGAGAAAAAUCGUUUUGAACGGUCAUACUGGCCUCUUUCUUUAGCUCCGACUUUUAGAGCUGAAGAUCACCGACGUCAGGAUUUUUCAGAGCUCCCAGUUGUCUUGAAAGCACCAUAAAUUGAGAAACCUGCCUAUUUUCCUCAAAAAUCCCACGGCCUGCAGCUGGAUUUUCACUCCGCUCCAAAGCCCCCAAUGUAAUGGACGCUGCAAUGGAUUUUGGCCUGCCUACGGUCUGGGGACCGACACACAAUCAAUAGUUUUUCCAGUACAGUGCUAUAUUUGUAUAGUGUCCAGGCACCCCAUUUUAAGCUGUUUGACCACAGUUAAAGUCCAGCAACAGUUGCUAUGACCUAGCUUUUUAUUCAAGCACCUUUUUUAAUUCUAAGGACUCUAGUGAGUAGACUGGACCCUGGUUUAUGGACACACAGGCAAUUGUUUUCCCUGUACAGUGCAAAUUGUUUGUGCAAUACAACACAAAUACAGGAAUACUUUGCUUAAACAUUACAAUUCAAAAUGUCUUUCUUGAACAAUAGCACCAAGUAAUUUAACAAGAAUAAUCCAAUGAAAAUAUAUUUCUAUUUUUUUAUUUUUAUUUUACCUUUAUUUAACUAGGCAAGUCAGUUAAGAACAAAUUCUUAUUUUCAAUGAUGGCCUAGGAACAGCCUAAUGAUUUGUUAUGUCUUUAAAAUUGUAAAAAAUCAUUUACUUAAGCUCCAACCAUUUCUCAAUUUGCUCCACCUUAUAAUAUUAUCCAUCUUAUAUAAAGUAAUAAUACUCUUUAGUUUAGAUUUUCCCCCAAUGUAGGUAUACUUACAAAAAAAAUAUUCUGCAUGUUUUAGCAUGGACAAUGCCAUUGAGGGCUUCCACCAUUUUAAUGUAGUCAACUGGGUGGGGACUCCUACGAGUUGGUAGCAAUAAGCCAAUGAUGAAGAAUAAACACAAGGUUUUUUUGUUUGUUGAUGCCAUAUGGCCUCUGGUUCUAUAGGAAAUCACUAUCACCAUCUGCUGGUCAGUGACUGAACUUGUACCCAUUCAAAACAUGAAGACUGAUCUAAUAAUGGUAUACUUUCUAUAAAAAUGUAUUUACCUGCAUACCUCUACAAUUGUAUGCCAGCACCUCCAACCAAAGACAAUUUCUGGCAUUGUAUGGCACUUUGGCGUAUGGUAAACCUAGGCACGAUUCUGAAAAGGAUCACUUCACUGUGUACUUAGUGCUCAAUCCUAUCACAUGUAACUGAGUUACACUCACAUACCUCAAGUUAAGAUAUAGCCCUUAAUGACCACAGGUAGGUACAAGGACUAGAUAGGGGAAUAUGCUUCCCCCUAUUUUAUUCUUUCAGAUCAGUGGUCACUAAAAAUCCUUAUCACUAUAUUGACCAUGUACACACAUUUUCUAUGGAGGCUUUAAAAGUUUAUUUGGCAAAGUUAAACUGUCACCACUUUGUGACAUGUUCUCUUUGCAGACAGGGUAACACUUCAAUGCAGGAAGCUAUGAGACUCAACCAUGAACCUGCAGUCCAACAACUCAAGAAAUAUGAGUAAAAAGCAUGAGCUGACGCACACCCAAGAUUUUUUGAGAGGUGCUGCCUGCUGACUGAUGGAGAGAAAACUGUAUAAAAAUAAAGAAUGGAAAAAGGGAUGGAGGGAAAAGGGAUGGAGGGAUGGAUGCAUUUCAUAGAAUAAAAAAGGACUCUUUGGAGCAUAUUGGAAGAUAAGUCCUGUCAUCAUAGCCCUUAUAUACUGUGAGAAGAACCUUAGUAAUGUGUUUUGAUGAGCCUUUCUUGUGUUUGAUUGGUUAUACUGAUCAGUGCUUAUUAUAUGAAAACAUGUAAAACAUGUUUUACUGCACUCAUGUUAAUAGUAUACAGUUGUCGUGUCUUUGGCUAUGCCGGAUUAAGUGAUAUGACAUGCUAACUUAUAAAAUGAUUUCUCUGUAAUUAAUAUUACCUGAUUAAGCUAAUCAUGUAAAUGUAAUUAACUAGAAAGUCGGGGAACCACGGAAGAACGUUUAUAGAGCCGUUAUCUUCCGAAUAAACUCUUAAAAUACUUUGUAAUAUUUUACAUCGAUAGCAGUCAAUAUUAACCCUUAUCUUAUUUUCAGUCUCAUAAUGAAAGUUGUAAAUUCUUGGCUAUCUUCACGAACCCUGGCUAACAAGUUGAAUCAGCAAUACAAAAUUGGGUUUAAUUAUUUAUUUACUAAAUACCUAACUAAUCACACAGAAUUACAAAUACACAGAAUGCAAUGAUGUCAUACAGAAUUCACCCCUGGUGAACGGAACCUGUAUGAAAGCUGGUUACACAAAGGAAAGGGGGUUGGGCUUGAAUGAAAGAGCGGGAAGAUUUAGGAACACAGAAACAGCAGCUAUGCUAUCGUAAAUACAUUAUCUUAUGCAUUCUAAAUUACCGCCCAUUUGGAAAAGAAAAAUGCAAUAAAUAUUUACUCUGAGCUGCGCUUCGGUAGAUUGGUCGUAGAUGCUGGCCGGGUUGGCCAACAGACCUUCCUGUCCUCGCAAGAAUGUCUCUGGUGGUAAAUUGGAUACGUG